rnacentral:rRNA from 1 species
GAUGAACGCUGGCGGCGUGCCUAAUACAUGCAAGUCGAGCGAACGGACGAGAAUCUUGCUUCUCUGAUGUUAGCGGCGGACGGGUGAGUAACACGUGGAUAACCUACCUAUAAGACUGGGAUAACUUCGGGAAACCGGAGCUAAUACCGGAUAAUAUUUUGAACCGCAUGGUUCAAAAGUGAAAGACGGUCUUGCUGUCACUUAUAGAUGGAUCCGCGCUGCAUUAGCUAGUUGGUAAGGUAACGGCUUACCAAGGCAACGAUGCAUAGCCGACCUGAGAGGGUGAGCGGCCACACUGGAACUGAGACACGGUCCAGACUCCUACGGGAGGCAGCAGUAGGGAAUCUUCCGCAAUGGGCGAAAGCCUGACGGAGCAGCGCCGCGUGAGUGAUGAAGGUCUUCGGAUCGUAAAACUCUGUUAUUAGGGAAGAACAUAUGUGUAAGUAACUGUGCACAUCUUGACGGUACCUAAUCAGAAAGCCACGGCUAACUACGUG